UGGGGAAUUUUGGGACAAUGGGGGAAACCCGUGAUCCAGCCAUCCCGCGUGUGCGAUGAAGGCCUUCGGGUUGUAAAGCACUUUUGGCAGGAAAGAAACGUCGCGGGUUAAUACCCCGCGAACAUGACGGUACCUGCAGAAUAAGCACCGGCUAACUACGUGCCAGCAGCCGCGGUAAUACGUAGGGUGCAAGCGUUAAUCGGAAUUACUGGGCGUAAAGCGUGCGCAGGCGGUUCGGAAAGAAAGAUGUGAAAUCCCAGAGCUUAACUUUGGAACUGCAUUUUUAACUACCGGGGCUAGAGUGUGUCAGAGGGAGGUGGAAUUCCGCGUGUAGCAGUGAAAUGCGUAGAUAUGCGGAGGAACACC
rnacentral:rRNA from 1 species